rnacentral:rRNA from 1 species
CCUAGCUGGUCUGAGAGGAUGACCAGCCACACUGGAACUGAGACACGGUCCAGACUCCUACGGGAGGCAGCAGUGGGGAAUAUUGCACAAUGGGCGCAAGCCUGAUGCAGCCAUGCCGCGUGUAUGAAGAAGGCCUUCGGGUUGUAAAGUACUUUCAGCGAGGAGGAAGGCAUUAAGGUUAAUAACCUUGGUGAUUGACGUUACUCGCAGAAGAAGCACCGGCUAACUCCGUGCCAGCAGCCGCGGUAAUACGGAGGGUGCAAGCGUUAAUCGGAAUUACUGGGCGUAAAGCGCACGCAGGCGGUCUGUCAAGUCGGAUGUGAAAUCCCCGGGCUCAACCUGGGAACUGCAUUCGAAACUGGCAGGCUAGAGUCUUGUAGAGGGGGGUAGAAUUCCAG